rnacentral:rRNA from 1 species
GAAAGAUGAAAAGAACUUUGAAAAGAGAGUUAAACAGUACGUGAAAUUGUUGAAAGGGAAACGAUUGAAGCCAGUCGUACCUUCGGGUAAUCAGCCUUUCGGGUGCGAUUCUGUGGGGUUUGAGGAGCUUAACACCUUCAUGCUUUGCAUAUUCGUGCUCUUGGGUGUACUUGCCCGUGUGGUUGGUUAACAUCAAUUUCGGGCACCAUAAAAUGGCUGGAGGAAUGUAGCUUCGAUCUUGUAUUGAAGUGUUAUA